rnacentral:rRNA from 1 species
UACGGGGGGAGCAAGCGUUGUUCGGAUUUACUGGGCGUAAAGGGCGCGUAGGCGGUCAGCACAAGUCAGUUGUGAAAUCUCCGGGCUUAACUCGGAAAGGUCAACUGAUACUGUGCGACUAGAGUGCGGAAGGGGCAACUGGAAUUCUCGGUGUAGCGGUGAAAUGCGUAGAUAUCAGGAGGAACACCGAUUGCGAAGGCAGCUCGCUGGGACGUUACUGACGCUGAGACGCGAAAGCGUGGGGAGCAAACAGG